GGUCAUGGAUGGGGAUGCGUCUGAUUAGCUUGUUGGCGGGGUAACGGCCCACCAAGGCGACGAUCAGUAGGGGUUCUGAGAGGAAGGUCCCCCACAUUGGAACUGAGACACGGUCCAAACUCCUACGGGAGGCAGCAGUGAGGAAUAUUGGUCAAUGGACGAGAGUCUGAACCAGCCAAGUAGCGUGCAGGAUGACGGCCCUAUGGGUUGUAAACUGCUUUUAUACGGGAAUAAAGUGGCUCACGUGUGGGUUUUUGUAUGUACCGUAUGAAUAAGGACCGGCUAAUUCCGUGCCAGCAGCCGCGGUAAUACGGAAGGUCCGGGCGUUAUCCGGAUUUAUUGGGUUUAAAGGGAGCGUAGGCCGCCGAUUAAGCGUGUUGUGAAAUGCCGCAGCUCAACUGUGGCACUGCAGCGCGAACUGGUUGGCUUGAGUGCGCGGAAGGCAGGCGGAAUUUGUGGUGUAGCGGUGAAAUGCUUAGAUAUCACGAAGAACCCCGAUUGCGAAGGCAGCCUGCCGCAGCGUAACUGACGCUGAAGCUCGAAAGUGCGGGUAUCGAACAGGAUUAGAUACCCUGGUAGUCCGCACGGUAAACGAUGGAUGCCCGCUGUUCCGGUUUUAUAUUGGAGUGGCCAAGCGAAAGCGUUAAGCAUCCCACCUGGGGAGUACGCCGGCAACG
rnacentral:rRNA from 1 species